rnacentral:lncRNA from 1 species
UUGAAUUAAUAUCACAAUUUUUAAUGUGGCCAACCAAAUCUCGCAUGCGUAGAACAUAAUAGAUUUAUAAAUAUCAUUACUCAAAAACAAAUAACCACACUCCACGAACAAAUAAAGACAUUAACUCUACAACCAAAUUUAUUCCGUGAGUUUAAUUCAGUUGACAAACACAUUACAUUAUAUAUUUAGGGUUUGAGGUUCGAAUUCGGUCAUCCCACUUAUCCUUCUUAAUGUUGGAAUUUCUAGCCACUAGACUUUUUUUUAUUGAAGAAGCUAAAUUAGUCUAUCCAAAUUGGCACUAGAGAGAAUCGAACCUGAGACCUUAAGGAGGAGCACACCCUCAGGUCCCAAGUCAAUACCACUAGACCGAUCAAAAUGAAUUUUCUAGCCAUUAGACUAGUUGACCAAAAUUAAAAAUAUCAUAUAUGAAUUGAGAGUAUAUAAUAAAUAGCGGAGCUGACCAACAAUUCUAAACCGAUAAGUAUUUAAUUCUUAUUCUCCCUUCGAUCUUAAAUAUAAAUAAAACGUCAAAUAUACCAGAUGGAGUGUAUCUUACGAAAAUGGUCGAGUUGACCAUCUAAGGAACGAGGGUGGUAUUUUUGAGGAUUUUGAUGCUUAUGAUUUGUUGCAAUGGUAAGGCUGAUAACUGCAAGGAACCAAACUAGCAAAGAUAGGUAAGACAUCAUUUUGUAUACUAUAUUUAUU